GACGAACGCUGGCGGCGUGCUUAACACAUGCAAGUCGAACGGAAAGGCCCUGCUUUUGUGGGGUGCUCGAGUGGCGAACGGGUGAGUAACACGUGAGUAACCUGCCCUUGACUUUGGGAUAACUUCAGGAAACUGGGGCUAAUACCGGAUAGGAGCUCCUGCUGCAUGGUGGGGGUUGGAAAGUUUCGGCGGUUGGGGAUGGACUCGCGGCUUAUCAGCUUGUUGGUGGGGUAGUGGCUUACCAAGGCUUUGCCGGGUAGCCGGCCUGAGAGUGUGACCGGCCACAUUGGGACUGAGAUACGGCCCAGACUCCGACGGGAGGCAGCAGUGGGGAAUAUUGCACAAUGGGCGGAAGCCUGAUGCAGCAACGCCGCGUGCGGGAUGACGGCCUUCGGGUUGUAAACCGCUGGCGCCUGUGACGAAGCGUGAGUGACGGUAAUGGGUAAAGAAGCACCGGCUAACUACGUG
rnacentral:rRNA from 1 species